AAGGUGGGGCUGAUGACUGGGGUGAAGUCGUAACAAGGUAGCCGUACCGGAAGGUGCGGCUGGAUCACCUCCUAACAGGGAGACAAACAACGAUUUUGAUGUCUGAGUUUUUUUAUUCUUAGGCCAAAAUCCUGUCACCUUAGGUCGAUCGGUACCUCAACUUUGAAACUAAGAGUAUUCAGCAAUGGAUAUCUGCUUAGUGGAAAUUUUUAGUUCCUAAACUUUGUCUAGUUCACAACCCAUUAGGGAUGAGACUCCUGGGCCAUUAGCUCAGGUGGUUAGAGCGCACCCCUGAUAAGGGUGAGGUCCCUGGUUCAAGUCCAGGAUGGCCCAUUCGGUGUAGGGGGUUUAGCUCAGUUGGUAGAGCGCCUGCUUUGCAAGCAGGAUGUCAGGAGUUCGAGUCUCCUAACCUCCACUGACUACCAAAAUCCCCAUCUCCAAAACCUGGAGUAUGAACUCGUAUGGAUUGUGAUUUAGAUAUGUCCGCUAGAUGACCCUAGCUUCUUGUCAUUUUAAGGCAUGGAAAAAAUUCCAUGAUAUUUAAUUGAUAGGAUGCUGGGCUCGAUUCAAUGUAUUGAGAGAUCAAUGCAUUGUUUUGAUGUCUGGUCGAACCUUGACAACUGCAUAGUAAGUCUGGAAAGAAUAAAGCAUCUUUAUGGAUGCAUCAUUCUUGAGUGUUAAUUCACGAUGGGGUGGUGUUAAUUCUAAAGCAAGAGCCGAGACUCCAGCAUGUUCUUUCAAAUGUGUCGAGCAUUUGAGAGUUUGAUUUUAAUUUCUAUUUUUAGAAGUUAGAAGAAUCUGUUUCAACGACAGCAAGCGUGUUGGAGAUACAUUGGUCAAGCUACAAAGGGCUCACGGC
rnacentral:misc_RNA from 1 species